UGGCAUCUGAAAUGACAGGACGGGACCUGAUUUCAUCCUUCGGGUAUUGAUUGGCUUGUUGGGGCGUUGCUAACAAAAUGGAAGCAGAUCUGAAUGCCAGUUUGCAGUUAGUUGUGAGGGGAUUUGUCUCCACUGGAUUCACUGGCGACACCCUAGCAUUAUUUUUUAGCAUCCGUACAUUUUUUAUUUAUUGAGGAAGACGAUGACGAGGACGAUCAACGUCACAAAACAUACCUAACAGCGCUUGCGAUAGAGAGAGACUGCCUGAAUGACUGAGGGCAUCCUCCAUCAGGUUAAGUCAUUAAAAAAUAGUUUGCGAUGUCCUCAGAGUAACGUUUUGGUAAUAUUGUAAUAUCCUCUCAAUUUUUAAGGGUAGUGUACUCCCCCAUGGCUUGCAUCAGCACUGGUCAAUCCAUUGAUUUCUAUAAAGUGAAGCAUCAGCUUUCCCCCCUGUCGUUUAUCCCAGCGCUUACCCCUAAUGUCACCAGCUCCGCCCCUGCGCCUCAUGACCGGAAGAGAAGAUGAGUUGUUUUGAGGGGGAGGAAAGGUUAAUGUUUUUGAUUAAAGGGGUCAUAUGAUGCAAUUUUCUCUUUGGAGUGUUACAAGCUCUUGGUGCAUAAAGAAGAUCUGUAAAGUUGCAAAGACUAAAGUUUCAAAUCCAAAGAGAUAUUCUUUAUAAAAGUUAAGACUUGUCGACGCCCCCCUAAAACGGCUCAUUUAAACAUGCCCCCACAUCUCUACGUCACUGUGUGGGAAGAUUUGCAAAACGCUGCCCAAAUGUUCACGCAAAGAAAGAAGGCAUACCUUUUAUUCUUGCUGUUGCUGCUGGCACCAUUUCAUGGAGAAGCUGUGUGUUUCAUUGUGAAAGUGAAAGUACUUUAGCUGAUCCGUGCUGAUCGCUGAGGGAAUACAUCAAGUUUGUGCUGUGGAUCACCGUAUUGGCUGCACCGUGGACGAAGUGGAGUCCAGGCCGGGGUCGUCACAUGUGGUUGCCGCAACCCCCUGCCACUCCUUCGUCAAAUCUGCCGGCUGUUCCUAGUUAUAGCCGCAGGCUGCCGCUCACUCAAGCCACAGGCCGUUCCUUACUCAAGCCCCCGGCUGUUCCUCACUCAAGCCGCUGGCCAUUCCUCACUCUUUGCAAGGACAGUCUGGCGCUUCUGACUCAUGGUAUGUAAGUAGGUUUACAUAUGUAAAGGAUUUGCGCAAAUUUUGAACAGUGUAGAGUAGCACUUGUUGUUUGUCGUUUCUGCAGACAUGGUUUUAUGUUUACACGGCGCGGUAUGCAAUGCAACGCGUAAAAAGACAGUAUAAGUCAUUAUAAUCAGUAAUUAUGUCCCCACUGGAUGCAACAACUGGAUGCUUCAUUUGUAAUGGGUUUUAUUGUUUUUGUCCUGUCAUGCCGAUGUUCUGACCGGGACACGCCAGUAUAU
ensembl:lncRNA